rnacentral:lncRNA from 10 species
UUAGGCACAUUCUGGGCUCUUUCUGGGCUUUAAUUUCCUCAUCAGCAAGGGACAUGGCUGGACUGUGUCAUUAUUCAGGAUCUUUUAUAUGUAAAUUUUAUAACUUUCAACCUCUUUGGAAAAGGUAUUAGAAUAAAUUCUGCUCUUGCAGUGUACAGAGAAGCCAGGACAAUGUGGAAAUUUGAUGCAUUUCCAAGAAAACUGAUGUGUGUCCAGACUUUGAGUGUCCUCUGGCUUCUUCGAGUUAGUGCAUAGACUGUCUCUGCAUGCUUCUUUCUGCGCUAGUUUAUUACAUUUAGUACAUUUGUAUUGUAUGAAAAGCAACAGCCCAGAUUAUUUGAUCCCCGUGUGUGUUAAUCUUUCCUUCCUGCCUCUCCCUUUUUUUUUUUUUGCGGCGGCGGGGGCGGUUGGCCUUUCUUUGUUUUUGUUUUUUUUUCUAUGUUCCUGUCCCUUAUUUUUAAAAAUCUCUUUUAGCAACAGGGAUAUCAUCACCACGCUGGUAUCCUCACAUGUGUGGGUUUUGCUGAGCUAGUAGAAAAUGAUCCAAAGAUGAUUGGUGACCAAAUGUCUGAUUGCAACAUUUCGUUUUCCUCCGUGGUACAUAGCUCCAGGCUGCCAGUCUCCUAUUUGUGGAUAAUCCCGUGGGCACUGGGUUCAGUUAUGUGAAUGGUAGUGGUGCCUAUGCCAAGGACCUGGCUAUGGUGGCUUCAGACAUGAUGGUUCUCCUGAAGACCUUCUUCAGUUGCCACAAAGAAUUCCAGACAGUUCCAUUCUACAUUUUCUCAGAGUCCUAUGGAGGAAAAAUGGCAGCUGGCAUUGGUCUAGAGCUUUAUAAGGCCAUUCAGCGAGGGACCAUCAAGUGCAACUUUGCGGGGGUUGCCUUGGGUGAUUCCUGGAUCUCCCCUGUUGAGAGAAGACAGUAGGUUUGUCUUUGGAAAGACAGAGGUAUGACAUACUUGAUUUGUACAUAUGUGAUUUCCUUUAGAUUCGGUGCUCUCCUGGGGACCUUACCUGUACAGCAUGGUAAGUAGAUACACAUCUGCACCCUCUGGGCAAACAGCCCAGCAGAUCUCUUCUGGCUGUGACCCCAGGAAAAGAGAUGCUGGAUGAGUUUGCCUAUGUGGUUGACACUGCUUUUUAGGGACUAGUCAUCCACAUAGAGUUGGAGACCCAAAGCAAGAGCUCGCCUCAGGGACAAAUUGAAAGAAAAUCAGCACACAUCACUUUUUUCCAGAUAUAAGAAACACAUUUUUCCAAUGCCCUAAAUUUUUAUUACAAAAAUUUUCAAAUAUGCAGAAAUGUUGAAAGAUCACGGUGAAUACCUACUUAGGUUCAGUUAACAAUUUGCUGUGUUUCAUCCAAUAAACAUGUGGCUUGUAACAAUACACUUUGAUAUGUGAGCUCCCGUUCUCCUUCCUUCCCCUCUUUCUCCUACCCCUCCCUAACUGCAGCAAUACCAGAUUGACGUUCCCAAGUAAAGUGGGUCUUUUUGCUCUUGGUUUGCAUUCCAGUCUCUUCUCGAAGACAAAGGUCUGGCAGAGGUGUCUAAGGUUGCAGAGCAAGUACUGAAUGCCGUAAAUAAGGGGCUCUACAGAGAGGCCACAGAGCUGUGGGGGAAAGCAGAAAUGAUCAUUGAACAGAACACAGAUGGGGUGAACUUCUAUAACAUCUUAACUAAAAGCACUCCCACGUCUACAAUGGAGUCGAGUCUAGAAUUCACACAGAGCCACCUAGGUGAGUGAACCUUGAAGUUAUUAAAGUCCCUGCCUCAGCCUCCAUGC